GACGGAAGGUGCAAGCGUUGCUCGGAAUCACUGGGCGUAAAGGGUGCGUAGGCGGUCGCGCAAGUCUGGCGUGAAAGCCCCGGGCUCAGCCCGGGAAGUGCGCUCGAAACUGCGCGGCUCGAGUGCCGGAGGGGAGAGUGGAAUUCCUGGUGUAGCGGUGAAAUGCGCAGAUAUCAGGAAGAACACCCGUGGCGAAGGCGGCUCUCUGGGACGGUACUGACGCUGAGACGCGAAAAGCGUGGGGGAGCGAACAGG
rnacentral:rRNA from 1 species